UCUUGAGGUGGGGGAUAACUCCGGGAAACUGGAGCUAAUACCGCAUGAUAACUGAGGUUCAAAGGUCGCAAGACCGCCUUGAGAGGGGCCUGCGUUCGAUUAGUUAGUUGGUGGGGUAAUGGCCUACCAAGACGAUGAUCGAUAGCUGGUUUGAGAGGAUGAUCAGCCACACUGGGACUGAGACACGGCCCAGACUCCUACGGGAGGCAGCAGUGGGGAAUAUUGGACAAUGGGGGCAACCCUGAUCCAGCAAUGCCGCGUGUGUGAAGAAGGUCUUCGGAUUGUAAAACACUUUCGUUGGGGACGAUGAUGACGGUACCCAAAGAAGAAGCCCCGGCUAACUUCGUGCCAGCAGCCGCGGUAAUACGAAGGGGGCGAGCGUUGCUCGGAAUAACUGGGCGUAAAGGGCGCGUAGGCGGCCGAUAGCUGUCAGAUGUGAAAUUUUUGGGCUCAACCCGAAAACUGCAUUUGAUACGUAUUGGCUAGAGUGCGAGAGAGGAUUGCGGAAUUCCCAGUGUAGAGGUGAAAUUCGUAGAUAUUGNGAAGAACACCAGUUGCGAA
rnacentral:rRNA from 1 species